CGCGGUAACACCGGCGGCUCGAGUGGUAACCGCUAUUAUUGGGUCUAAAGGGUCUGUAGCCGGCCUGGUUAGUCCCUUGGGAAAUCUGGCUGCUCAACAGUCAGGCUUCCAGGGGAUACUGCUAGGCUCGAGACCGGGAGAGGUGGGAGGUACUUCAGGGGUAGGGGUGAAAUCUUGUAAUCCUUGAAGGACCACCAGUGGCGAAGGCGUCUCACCAGAACGGAUCUGACGGCAAGGGACGAAAGCUAGGGGCACGAACCGGAUUAGAUACCCGGGUAGUCCCAGCUGUAAACGAUGCAGACUCGGUGAUGCGCUGGCUUGUGGCCAGUGCAGUGCCGCAGGGAAGCCGUUAAGUUUGCCGCCUGGGAAGUACGUACGCAAGUAUGAAACUUAAAGGAAUUGGCGGGGGAGCAC
rnacentral:rRNA from 2 species